GCUAAAAAUUGCAGAGCGAACUCUACUGAAAGUGGACACACCAAAGGAUGAAAAGCGAAUAAGGAAACCUAAGUGACUAUUCUCUGAUGAAGAUUCAACUGUCACUGGAGAUGAAACAAAUCCUGACAUCCCAGGAAAGGAAACAUCCAAACGCAUGUGGAGGAGGAAAUUCUUUUUGGAGACAGCCGGUUUCCACCAGGAUCCCACAGUCCAGGUGAAUCUCCCAGCGAUGACAAUGCUGCCAAAGUCAGAGACCUUCAGAACCAGGUUAAGGUUCUACAGAGGGAAAACUCAAGGCUGUGCUACUUGGCCAUAAAAGGUCAAAUUGGGGAGUGAUGGAAUAACCAUAUCAACUCACUGUUGGGAGACUGCCAAAUCCCAAAAAACUCCUACUGUGAUGGCUCGAGUGUUGCUGAUGGGUCUGUUCAGUGUUGACAUCCUCAUGAAAUCAAACCUGACUAGAGGGAUGAAUAAGGUGGACCCUGCUGCUGAACGUUGCCAGGCUCUUGACACGAAAAGGCUCCAAGCUUUAGUUGAUGCUGUUGUCAACCACCAUCCUGGGGUGAAGAUUUCUGACAUCAGAAAAGCAAUCAAUGCAAGAAUUUGAAUUUCAACUUGAAAAUGUUUGGAUGGUUGAAAUAGGAGUAUGUUUCAGCAUCAACAGUUGUGUUGAUCGUUUUAUUUUGUCUUUUCUUUUGCUUGUAAUAAAUACUUGUGCUUUUCAUGCCAUGUUCAUGUUUACAUUAUGUACUUUGUGUCACUGUUGGCAAUAAUCCAGUUGUUAAAAGUAAUUUUUAUUGUCUAAAUGAAUAAAAGUUAAGUUUUAUUUUAAAAUCUGUAUCCUCUCAUUUUAUGUAUUGUAUCAAUGUUCAACUGUUAAACAUGUGAUGUGCAGUCUCAAGAUCAUUUG